rnacentral:rRNA from 1 species
CCUACGGGGGGCAGCAGUGGGGAAUAUUGGACAAUGGGGGGAACCCUGAUCCAGCCAUGCCGCGUGUGUGAAGAAGGCCCUCGGGUUGUAAAGCACUUUCAGUGAGGAAGAACGCCUGGUGGUUAAUACCCAUCAGGAAAGACAUCACUCACAGAAGAAGCACCGGCUAACUCCGUGCCAGCAGCCGCGGUAAUACGGAGGGUGCGAGCGUUAAUCGGAAUUACUGGGCGUAAAGCGCGCGUAGGUGGCUUGAUAAGCCGGUUGUGAAAGCCCCGGGCUCAACCUGGGAACGGCAUCCGGAACUGUCAAGCUAGAGUGCAGGAGAGGAAGGUAGAAUUCCCGGUGUAGCGGUGAAAUGCGUAGAGAUCGGGAGGAAUACCAGUGGCGAAGGCGGCCUUCUGGACUGACACUGACACUGAGGUGCGAAAGCGUGGGUAGCAAACAGGAUUAGAUGCCCCAGUAGUC